UACGUAUGGUGCAAGCGUUGUUCGGAUUUACUGGGCGUAAAGAGCGCGCAGGCGGAUUAUUAAGUCGGGUGUGAAAUCUCCAGGCUUAACCUGGAGGCUGCAUCCGAAACUGGUGAUCUGGAGUCCCGGAGAGGCAGACGGAAUACUUGGUGUAGCGGUGAAAUGCGUAGAUAUCAAGUGGAACACCGAUGGCGAAGGCAGUCUGCUGGACGGUGACUGACGCUGAGGCGCGAAAGCGUGGGGAGCAAACAGG
rnacentral:rRNA from 1 species